ACAACAUACCGGAAAGGCCAUGGGCAUGAAAAUAUGUCAAUCCUAAAUACUUAUCCAUAUGUAUCUCGAUCUGUUGAUGAUGACUCAAUUGAUGAACUAGUAAAAAUUUUUUUUACUAUUCAUCCCUGCUCUGGUCAGAGACUCUCAGAAUCAGCAUCCUAUGAGAUCACAUAGGAUGUUCUCUCCUCCUACAAGGACUAAUCGAUUCUUUAUUGAUCACUCACAGCCUUCAUGCAUACUUUGC
rnacentral:lncRNA from 1 species